rnacentral:rRNA from 1 species
GUCUAUGGCCAUGCUACCCUGAACAAGCCAGAUCUCGUCUGACCUCAGAAGCUAAGCAUGGUCAGGCCUGGUUAGUACUUGGAUGGGAGACCACCUAGGAAGACCAGGUGCUGUGGGUG